rnacentral:rRNA from 1 species
UACGUAGGGUGCGAGCGUUGUCCGGAAUUAUUGGGCAUAAAGAGCUUGUAGGCGGUCUGUCGCGUCUGCUGUGAAAAUCCGGGGCUCAACCCCGGACUUGCAGUGGGUACGGGCAGACUAGAGUGUGGUAGGGGAGACUGGAAUUCCUGGUGUAGCGGUGAAAUGCGCAGAUAUCAGGAGGAACACCGAUGGCGAAGGCAGGUCUCUGGGCCAUAACUGACGCUGAGAAGCGAAAGCAUGGGGAGCGAACAGG